AGUGACCAAGAUUGAGGCAAAAGAAUGCGUCCCAUGUUUUCGACAGCUUCGACUUGAUAUACUCCAUCUGAACCAACUCUGGCUCAGACUCAAGAGUAGGGGGCCUAUGUUGGGGGUGAUUUCAUACAAACCAAAGACAUAAGCAAAUGAAUUCGGAUCCGAUCCUCGACUGAUCUAAGAUUUUUUUUAUCAGAUCCGACCUGAUCUGAAAAUUCUAUACAUCUUUCAAAAUUUAAAUGGUCAUGAUCUAAUAGGCAAUGACAGGCA
rnacentral:lncRNA from 1 species